UACGGAGGGGGCUAGCGUUGUUCGGAAUUACUGGGCGUAAAGCGCACGUAGGCGGCUUUGUAAGUUAGAGGUGAAAGCCCGGAGCUCAACUCCGGAACUGCCUUUAAGACUGCAUCGCUUGAAUCAUGGAGAGGUCAGUGGAAUUCCGAGUGUAGAGGUGAAAUUCGUAGAUAUUCGGAAGAACACCAGUGGCGAAGGCGACUGACUGGACAUGUAUUGACGCUGAGGUGCGAAAGCGUGGGGAGCAAACAGGAUUAGAAACCCCAGUAGUC
rnacentral:rRNA from 1 species